CGACCUCAGAUCGGGCGAGACUACCCGCUGAAUUUAAGCAUAUCAAUAAGCGGAGGAAAAGAAACUAACAAGGAUUCCCCC
rnacentral:rRNA from 1 species